GACAAGGAUAUGAAAUGUGAAAUCAAAGAGGCAUGGUCCAACUUUCAAAGUUAGCCAAAAGGUAAAGGAGGCAUUGAUUAUCAAGUUUGCUGCAGCAGAGGAGCUGAACGCUUCAAAGCGAAGAAAGACUGCUUCUCUGGGCCUUGAGAUCCUGCUGCUCCUCAUUCAAGAUUAUUUAUUAGCCUUAUUUUGUCACCAAAAAAAACAGACAUGUGUAGUUACUAGUGAAGCCUUAUUUAUGCUUUCACUCGACCUAUUUAUUUUCGCUAAUGAAAAGAUGGGGACCUUGUAAUAUUUUAAAUAUGAAACAAAUCACAUCACACAAAAGGUUAGGGGCGCCGGAUUAUAAGCACAAUCACCCGUAAGCAGUGCUCACACACAAAUACGCAACGCAAUUUGACAAUCCGCAUGGGAUUUAGGAAAGGCCAAAAAUAAACAAAAGAAAUUCGUACACGAAUCCACCUGGCACUUUGCACUUUUUUUACUUCCCCAGUGAGGAAACAAAAUAUAAAAAAUGAAAAUAGCAUGAAGGAAUCUGCUUUUAGGUGUGAGUUGUGUGGCAAGGACUAAUUAGGAGUCCUCCUGCCUCUCCCAGUGUCCAUGUGGCAUGGUGGUGUGGGCAUAUUUUGCAUGAUCGAGGCGUGGCACCGAGGUGAGAUGAGUCGCUAUCAUUACUCAAAAUGGGGCCUUACUCAAAAGUUGCCCCUUAUGCCUUGGCGUUUGUAUUUUUCGUUGAGCUAAGUCCAUCACGGUGACGCUGGUGGAUCCUAAUAAAGUGGGAGAGGGCGUCUGG
rnacentral:lncRNA from 1 species